AUUGAACGCUGGCGGCAUGCCUUACACAUGCGAGUCGAACGGCAGCGGACCUUCGGGUGCCGGCGAGUGGCGAACGGGUGAGUAAUAUAUCGGAACGUACCUUUCAGUGGGGGAUAACGUAGCGAAAGUUACGCUAAUACCGCAUAUUCUGUGAGCAGGAAAGCAGGGGAUCGCAAGACCUUGCGCUGAUUGAGCGGCCGAUAUCAGAUUAGCUAGUUGGUGAGGUAAAGGCUCACCAAGGCGACGAUCUGUAGCGGGUCUGAGAGGAUGAUCCGCCACACUGGAACUGAGACACGGUCCAGACUCCUACGGGAGGCAGCAGUGGGGAAUUUUGGACAAUGGGCGCAAGCCUGAUCCAGCCAUGCCGCGUGAGUGAAGAAGGCCUUCGGGUUGUAAAGCUCUUUCGGCCGGGAAGAAAUCGCACAGGUUAAUACCCUGUGUGGAUGACGGUACCGGAAUAAGAAGCACCGGCUAACUACGUG
rnacentral:rRNA from 1 species